rnacentral:rRNA from 1 species
CCUACGGGAUGCAGCAGUGAGGAAUAUUGGUCAAUGGGCGCGAGCCUGAACCAGCCAAGUAGCGUGAAUGAUGACUGCCCUACGGGUUUUAAACUUCUUUUAUAAAGGAAUAAAGUGAGGCACGUGUGCCUUUUUGUAUGUACUUUAUGACUAAGGCUCGGCUAACUCCGUGCCAGCAGCCGCGGUAAUACGGAGGAUCCGAGCGUUAUCCGGAUUUAUUGGGUUUAAAGGGCGCGUAGAUGGGUUGUUAAGUCCGUUGGGAAAGUUUGGGGCUCAACCGUAAAAUUGCAAUUGAUACUGGCAGUCUUGAGUGCAGUUGAGGUAGGCGGAAUGCGUGGUGGAGCGGUGAAAUGCUUAGAUAUGACGAAGAACUCCGAUUGCGAAGGCAGCUUACUAAACUGCCACUGACAUUGAUGCUCGAAAGUGUGGGUAUCAAACAGGAUUAGAUACCCGGGUAGUC